ACAGUUUGUUAAUUGUUUUCAUGAACAGUUAGUAAUUUGACAAGUCACCAUGGGCAGCAAUGCAGGCUUCAAUGCGGCGGGGCAUACUACUGAUCAAAGAAGUUAGAAAGUCGUGGUCCAUGCUGUUCCAAUAUCAGACCACCUCUUCUUUCAUUUCAGCAAUA